rnacentral:rRNA from 1 species
AACGAACGCUGGCGGCAUGCCUAACACAUGCAAGUCGAACGAGACCUUCGGGUCUAGUGGCGCACGGGUGCGUAACGCGUGGGAACCUGCCCUUAGGUUCGGAAUAACUCCCCGAAAGGGGUGCUAAUACCGGAUAAUGUCUUCGGACCAAAGAUUUAUCGCCUUUGGAUGGGCCCGCGUUGGAUUAGCUAGUUGGUAGGGUAAAAGCCUACCAAGGCGACGAUCCAUAGCUGGUCUGAGAGGAUGAUCAGCCACACUGGGACUGAGACACGGCCCAGACUCCUACGGGAGGCAGCAGUGGGGAAUAUUGGACAAUGGGCGAAAGCCUGAUCCAGCAAGCCGCGUGAGUGAUGAAGGCCUUAGGGUUGUAAAGCUCUUUUACCCGGGAUGAUAAUGACAGUACCGGGAGAAUAAGCUCCGGCUAACUCCGUG